rnacentral:rRNA from 1 species
AUUGAACGCUGGCGGCAGGCCUAACACAUGCAAGUCGAACGGUAACAGGAAGAAGCUUGCUUCUUUGAUGACGAGUGGCGGACGGGUGAGUAAUGUCUGGGAAACUGCCUGAUGGAGGGGGAUAACUACUGGAAACGGUAGCUAAUACCGCAUAACGUCGCAAGACCAAAGAGGGGGACCUUCGGGCCUCUUGCCAUCGGAUGUGCCCAGAUGGGAUUAGCUAGUAGGUGGGGUAACGGCUCACCUAGGCGACGAUCCCUAGCUGGUCUGAGAGGAUGACCAGCCACACUGGAACUGAGACACGGUCCAGACUCCUACGGGAGGCAGCAGUGGGGAAUAUUGCACAAUGGGCGCAAGCCUGAUGCAGCCAUGCCGCGUGUAUGAAGAAGGCCUUCGGGUUGUAAAGUACUUUCAGCGGGGAGGAAGGGAGUAAAGUUAAUACCUUUACUCAUUGACGUUACCCGCAGAAGAAGCACCGGCUAACUCCGUG